rnacentral:rRNA from 1 species
GGGUCAGCAGGUUGGUCGUGCCACCGGUACGUACUGGUCUCACUGAUUCCUCCUUCCUGAAGAACCGUAAUGCCAUUAAUUUGGUGUUGCGGGGGAACAGGACUGUUACUUUGAAAAAAUUAGAGUGUUUAAAGCAAGCUAACGCUUGAAUACAUUAGCAUGGAAUAAUGAAAUAGGACGAUCGAUCCUAUUUUGUUGGUUUCUAGGAUUGACGUA